UGAGAAUCUUUUUGAAAAGAUUUGUGAAGACAUCAGUCAUUUUUGCUCACACAGAUGUAACACAAGUUCCAUAUGAUGUUGGUGACCAUUUCCUUCCUUAUGAUAAACUUGUUGUAGGACUGCCAUGCAGAGGUUACAUUGCAGACCACCAAGAUGAAAUUGGUGUUGAAACAGAAAAGAAAUUGUACAGGUUGGUAUUACUUCUUGUUGUCAGUUGUUGUUGAGGUUGGUAAUACUUGUACUUUAUAAAGGUAUAUUAAAAUAUGUCAUAUGUAAAGUGUACAUGAUCAAUAACACAAAUUUAUCUUUAUAUUUUUCAGAACAGCCAGAAACUUUUAAAUAAAGAUAGUAUCAAAGAUGAUUGAUAAGUUUCCCUUCUCGGACACCACUUUGCAGGAC
rnacentral:lncRNA from 1 species